rnacentral:rRNA from 1 species
UACGUAGGGGGCAAGCGUUAUCCGGAUUUACUGGGUGUAAAGGGAGCGUAGACGGCAUGGCAAGCCAGAUGUGAAAGCCCGGGGCUCAACCCCGGGACUGCAUUUGGAACUGUCAGGCUAGAGUGUCGGAGGGGAAAGCGGAAUUCCUAGUGUAGCGGUGAAAUGCGUAGAUAUUAGGAGGAACACCAGUGGCGAAGGCGGCUUUCUGGACGAUGACUGACGUUGAGGCUCGAAAGCGUGGGGAGCAAACAGG